GCCUUCGUAGUGUAGCGGUCAGCACGUUCGGCACUUAUUCGAGAGGCCCGUGGUUCGAGUCCCGGCGAAGGCG
rnacentral:tRNA from 1 species